CGGCGAACGGGUGAGUAACACGUGAGCAAUCUGCCCUUCACUUCGGGAUAACUCCGGGAAACCGGUGCUAAUACCGAAUACGACCACUUCAGGCAUCUGAUGGUGGUGGAAAGUUCCGGCGGUGAAGGAUGAGCUCGCGGCCUAUCAGCUUGUCGGUGAGGUAACGGCCCACCAAGGCAACGACGGGUAGCCGGCCUGAGAGGGUGACCGGCCACACUGGGACUGAGACACGGCCCAGACUCCCACGGGAGGCAGCAGUGGGGAAUAUUGGACAAUGGGCGAAAGCCUGAUCCAGCAACGCCGCGUGAGGGAUGACGGCCUUCGGGUUGUAAACCUCUUUCAGCGGGGACGAAGCGCAAGUGACGGUACCCGCAGAAGAAGCACCGGCCAACUACGUGCCAGCAGCCGCGGUAAUACGUAGGGUGCAAGCGUUGUCCGGAAUUAUUGGGCGUAAAGGGCUCGUAGGCGGUCUGUCACGUCGGGAGUGAAAACUCAGGGCUUAACCCUGAGCCUGCUUCCGAUAC
rnacentral:rRNA from 1 species